rnacentral:rRNA from 1 species
ACGUAGGUGGCGAGCGUUGUCCGGAAUUACUGGGUGUAAAGGGCGUGUAGGCGGGAUUUUAAGUCAGAUGUGAAAUUCUUGGGCUCAACCCAAGCGCUGCAUCUGAAACUGAGAUUCUUGAGUGCUGGAGAGGAUAGUGGAAUUCCUAGUGUAGCGGUGAAAUGCGUAGAUAUUAGGAGGAACACCAGUGGCGAAGGCGGCUAUCUGGACAGUAACUGACGCUGAGGCGCGAAAGCGUGGGGAGCAAACAGGAUUAGAUACCCUGGUAGUCCACGCUGUAAACGAUGGAUACUAGGUGUAGGAGGUAUCGACCCCUUCUGUGCCGGAGUUAACACAAUAAGUAUCCCACCUGGGGAGUACGGCCGCAAGGUUG